AGGGACAUCAGACAGAGCUACAACCAGUGAGGGACAAAAGUGAGGCAGCUGCUGAAGAGGUACUUCAUACUGUCAUUGACUGAUAUCACUAUGGUGGAGAUGCAGGUGGCUUUAGAAAUAUGCUGAAUUGGUUUGAUCCAGAGAGGCAGUUAUGCAUAAGAGCAACCACUCUCUAUUGAAUUAGGAGAUCUCUCAUGCAACACAUCUCACCAAUUACAAGUCCCCAUUAGCCACCACGAUGGCUGGAGAAGAGUGGAUCAUCACAAAUGGUGACAACUGUGGUGCUAUCCCACUGUCAAUGCAGGAGAGAGCAAUACACACAAGACAGUUCAGUUCACAAGUCCAUCAGAAGCAGACUGCAGUUGCAUGAAGGCGCUGGCAAGUGAAAUCGAGGACCAUUAAUUAACCCAGGAGCAGAGUGAGGGGUUUCCUGUGGAAGCCAAAGGAGGGCCUCGAUUUCCUGUAACUGGAGUCCCAGAUGCAAAUCCUUGAAGAAGAGAGAACUCAUGCUGAGCUGCUUGUUUCGCAUCCCAAAAAGGACUCAGGAGGACUGUUCAUCUAUUUAGUGACAGAAUUUUCCAUGCUCAAUAAAUUCUGCUGCUUGGUAACUGAA
rnacentral:lncRNA from 1 species